UCUGCCUCCUUGUACCGGUACACGGGAUCUUGUACCGGUACAAGAGCUACGAAAAUCCAAAACCGAGGCUCGGGUGCGCGGUCCUGCGGCACUGUACCGGUACAGGCCCGAUGGCUGUACCGGUACAACCAUCAACAUUGUACCGGUACAAGACCACCCUUGUACCGGUACAAGACCUGCGAAAAUGCAAACCCGAGGCUCGGGUUUGCGAGUUCGCGGCUCUGUACCGGUACAGGCCCAACCUUGUACCGGUACAAGCCCGCCAGACAGCCAAUCCGAGAGCUGACCAAAAUCCAAAUUUUUGGGUUUUGGUGCAAGGCUUUGUACCACACUCCUCGGGACACGUGCCAUAAGUCGGAACACAGUCAACGACCUACCAGGAAAUCUGGAAAAGCUCAGAGCACAGCUAAUCACUCGAACCUCGCUGUUUGCAAAGGUC
rnacentral:lncRNA from 1 species